GAUGGACGCUGGCGGCGUGCCUAAUACAUGCAAGUCGAGCGAACGGACGAGAAGCUUGCUUCUCUGAUGUUAGCGGCGGACGGGUGAGUAACACGUGGAUAACCUACCUAUAAGACUGGGAUAACUUCGGGAAACCGGAGCUAAUACCGGAUGAUAUUUUGAACCGCAUGGUUCAAAAGUGAAAGACGGUCUUGCUGUCACUUAUAGAUGGAUCCGCGCUGCAUUAGCUAGUUGGUAAGGUAACGGCUUACCAAGGCAACGAUGCAUAGCCGACCUGAGAGGGUGAUCGGCCACACUGGAACUGAGACACGGUCCAGACUCCUACGGGAGGCAGCAGUAGGGAAUCUUCCGCAAUGGGCGAAAGCCUGACGGAGCAACGCCGCGUGAGCGAUGAAGGUCUUCGGAUCGUAAAACUCUGUUAUUAGGGAAGAACAUAUGUGUAAGUAACUGUGCACAUCUUGACGGUACCUAAUCAGAAAGCCACGGCUAACUACGUG
rnacentral:rRNA from 1 species